rnacentral:lncRNA from 1 species
UCCCUUUGGACACUGCCUGUGUCCGCGUUUGGUUAGUGAUUUAACCCAAUUAUACUGUCCAAAUUUCAAAUCACCGAGAUAAGGCUCGACAUGUUGGCAUAUGCACUCUCGUUGCUGCCAAGUGGAAUGUCUGUUGAAAAUUGAUUUUGGUAGAUUUUCCCAUUGAACGAUGUCUUUAGAGUAGUGUUUAAUGGUGAACUCA